rnacentral:rRNA from 1 species
AAUGAACGUUGGCGGCGUGGAUUAGGCAUGCAAGUCGCGCGACAAGUUUUCCUGCUUGCAGGAGAAUGGAGGAGCGGCGUAAGGGAGAGUAACGCGUGGAUAUCUGCCCUGGGCUCCGGGAUAGCAGUGGGAAACUACUGGUAAUACCGGAUAAUGUCCCCGGACCAAAGGUGUGAUUCCGGCCUAGGAUGAGUCCGCGUCCUAUUAGCUUGUUGGUGGGGUAAAGGCCUACCAAGGCGAAGAUGGGUACCGGGUGUGAGAGCAUGGCCCGGCUCACUGGGACUGAGACACUGCCCAGACACCUACGGGUGGCUGCAGUCGAGAAUCUUCCGCAAUGGACGCAAGUCUGACGGAGCGACGCCGCGUGCGGGAUGAAGGCCUUCGGGUUGUAAACCGCUGUCAGUGGGGAGCAAAUGCAUCGGGGCUAUCCUCGAUGUUUGAGCAAUCCGCAGAGGAAGUACGGGCUAAGUUCGUG